rnacentral:rRNA from 1 species
UUGAACGCUGGCGGCAGGCCUAACACAUGCAAGUCGAGCGGUAACACAGAGAGCUUGCUCUCGGGUGACGAGCGGCGGACGGGUGAGUAAUGUCUGGGAAACUGCCUGAUGGAGGGGGAUAACUACUGGAAACGGUAGCUAAUACCGCAUAACGUCGCAAGACCAAAGUGGGGGACCUUCGGGCCUCAUGCCAUCAGAUGUGCCCAGAUGGGAUUAGCUAGUAGGUGGGGUAACGGCUCACCUAGGCGACGAUCCCUAGCUGGUCUGAGAGGAUGACCAGCCACACUGGAACUGAGACACGGUCCAGACUCCUACGGGAGGCAGCAGUGGGGAAUAUUGCACAAUGGGCGCAAGUCUGAUGCAGCCAUGCCGCGUGUGUGAAGAAGGCCUUCGGGUUGUAAAGCACUUUCAGCGGGGAGGAAGGCGGUGAGGUUAAUAACCUCAUCGAUUGACGUUACCCGCAGAAGAAGCACCGGCUAACUCCGUGCCAGCAGCCGCGGUAAUACGGAGGGUGCAAGCGUUAAUCGGAAUUACUGGGCGUAAAGCGCACGCAGGCGGUCUGUCAAGUCGGAUGUGAAAUCCCCGGGCUCAACCUGGGAACUGCAUUCGAAACUGGCAGGCUAGAGUCUUGUAGAGGGGGGUAGAAUUCCAGGUGUAGCGGUGAAAUGCGUAGAGAUCUGGAGGAAUACCGGUGGCGAAGGCGGCCCCCUGGACAAAGACUGACGCUCAGGUGCGAAAGCGUGGGGAGCAAACAGGAUUAGAUACCCUGGUAGUCCACGCCGUAAACGAUGUCGAUUUGGAGGUUGUGCCCUUGAGGCGUGGCUUCCGGAGCUAACGCGUUAAAUCGACCGCCUGGGGAGUACGGCCGCAAGGUUAAAACUCAAAUGAAUUGACGGGGGCCCGCACAAGCGGUGGAGCAUGUGGUUUAAUUCGAUGCAACGCGAAGAACCUUACCUGGUCUUGACAUCCACAGAACUUUCCAGAGAUGGAUUGGUGCCUUCGGGAACUGUGAGACAGGUGCUGCAUGGCUGUCGUCAGCUCGUGUUGUGAAAUGUUGGGUUAAGUCCCGCAACGAGCGCAACCCUUAUCCUUUGUUGCCAGCGGUUCGGCCGGGAACUCAAAGGAGACUGCCAGUGAUAAACUGGAGGAAGGUGGGGAUGACGUCAAGUCAUCAUGGCCCUUACGACCAGGGCUACACACGUGCUACAAUGGCAUAUACAAAGAGAAGCGACCUCGCGAGAGCAAGCGGACCUCAUAAAGUAUGUCGUAGUCCGGAUUGGAGUCUGCAACUCGACUCCAUGAAGUCGGAAUCGCUAGUAAUCGUAGAUCAGAAUGCUACGGUGAAUACGUUCCCGGGCCUUGUACACACCGCCCGUCACACCAUGGGAGUGGGUUGCAAAAGAAGUAGGUAGCUUAACCUUCGGGAGGGCGCUUACCACUUUGUGAUUCAUGACUGGGGUG